rnacentral:rRNA from 1 species
UACAGAGGGUGCGAGCGUUGUUCGGAAUUAUUGGGCGUAAAGGGCGCGUAGGCGGUGCGGUAAGUCACCUGUGAAAUCUCCUGGCUCAACUGGGAGCUUGCAGGCGAAACUGCCGUGCUGGAGUGUGGGAGAGGUGAGUGGAAUUCCCGGUGUAGCGGUGAAAUGCGCAGAUAUCAGGAGGAACACCGGUGGCGAAGGCGGGUCUCUGGGCCUUACCUGACGCUGAGGAGCGAAAGCGUGGGGAGCGAACAGG